rnacentral:rRNA from 1 species
GACGAACGCUGGCGGCGUGCCUAAUUCAUGCAAGUUGAGCGAUGAAGCUUGGUGCUUGCACCAAUUUGAAGAGCAGCGAACGGGUGAGUAACGCGUGGGGAAUCUGCCUUUGAGCGGGGGACAACAUUUGGAAACGAAUGCUAAUACCGCAUAACAACUUUAAACAUAAGUUUUAAGUUUGAAAGAUGCAAUUGCAUCACUCAAAGAUGAUCCCGCGUUGUAUUAGCUAGUUGGUGAGGUAAAGGCUCACCAAGGCGAUGAUACAUAGCCGACCUGAGAGGGUGAUCGGCCACAUUGGGACUGAGACACGGCCCAAACUCCUACGGGAGGCAGCAGUAGGGAAUCUUCGGCAAUGGACGAAAGUCUGACCGAGCAACGCCGCGUGAGUGAAGAAGGGUUUCGGAUCGUAAAACUCUGUUGGUAGAGAAGAACGUUGGUGAGAGUGGAAAGCUCAUCAAGUGACGGUAACUACCCAGAAAGGGACGGCUAACUACGUG